ACGGAGGAUGCAAGCGUUAUCCGGAAUGAUUGGGCGUAAAGGGUCCGCAGGUGGCAGUGUAAGUCUGCUGUCAAAGAAUGAGGCUUAACCUCAUCAAGGCAGUGGAAACUACACAGCUAGAGUACGGUCGGGGUAGAAGGAAUUCCUGGUGUAGCGGUGAAAUGCGUAGAGAUCGGGAGGAAGGCCGGUGGCGAAGGCGGCGCUCUGGAACAUUUCUGACGCUGAGGCUCGAAAGCGUGGGGAGCAAACAGGA
rnacentral:rRNA from 1 species